ACGUCGGAAUGGUGUACUGUUUAGGAGGAAGGUCCACAUCGGAAUGGUGGACUGUUUAAGAGGAAGGUCCAUGUCGGAAUGGUGGACUGUUUAGGAGGAAGGUCCACGUCGGAAUGGUGGACUGUUUAGGAGGAAGGUCCGUGUCAGAAUGGACUGUCCAGGACG